rnacentral:lncRNA from 10 species
CUGAAAGAAAGAGAAUUCAGAGGGGAGGAGGCUGGGAAGACACAGCCACCCUCCACUGCCUCUGCCCUUUGCCCUGAGUUCUCCUCCUAGAACUUUGAGGUCAUAACAACCAAUACAACAAGUGGGCUCUGUAAGCUUCCUGAUUUAGAUAAAUUGGCUGUGAAAUGGAAAAAAAGAUUUAAAAAAAAAGAAAAAAUCUGUCACCCAGGAGCUUGUAAUUGGGACAGAGAUUCUGGCUAGGUAGGUGUGGUUGCAGGAGCUGGAAAGUGAUGUUGAUUCAGGGGUGAAGAAACCAUCAUACCCACUGUUGUACACGCCACUGUACCCAAGCUUUAGGGAUGUGGAGCAUUACGUUAUAUGUAAGAUGCAGGGUGUCUGUCCCUUCAAUACACUCAAACUCUUUCAAGCAAGAAAUAUGACAUAUUCAUUUUAUUGAAUACAACAGACUACGAUUUUUUUUGGUUUUUUGGGUUUUUUUUGAGACAAGAUCUCAUUCUGUCUCCUAGGCUGGAGCGCAGUGGC